AACGAACGCUGGCGGCAUGCCUAACACAUGCAAGUCGAACGAGACCUUCGGGUCUAGUGGCGCACGGGUGCGUAACGCGUGGGAACCUUCCCUUAGGUUCGGAAUAACUCCCCGAAAGGGGUGCUAAUACCGGAUAAUGUCUUCGGCCCAAAGAUUUAUCGCCUUUGGAUGGGCCCGCGUUGGAUUAGCUAGUUGGUAGGGUAAAAGCCUACCAAGGCGACGAUCCAUAGCUGGUCUGAGAGGAUGAUCAGCCACACUGGGACUGAGACACGGCCCAGACUCCUACGGGAAGCAGCAGUGGGGAAUAUUGGACAAUGGGCGAAAGCCUGAUCCAGCAAUGCCGCGUGAGUGAUGAAGGCCUUAGGGUUGUAAAGCUCUUUUACCCGGGAUGAUAAUGACAGUACCGGGAGAAUAAGCUCCGGCUAACUCCGUG
rnacentral:rRNA from 1 species